GAAGAUACCACAGACUUUAUGCAUCUUUUCCCCCCUGUCAACAGCGCAUUUUUUCAUUUCCGAAGGGCUCCUACGAAAAGGAUUCUGUGUAUCCAAGGCCACCCAGUAGUACACUUGUUUCUCUCUCCGGUUCGACGAAACUCUUCAAUCUUCUACUCUCAAACAGGCAUUUCACUCGCUUUUUUGAUUCAGUUCUCAACGUGACUUUCUUAUCUAUCGCGUCCACAAACAGCGGGGAAGAAGAUUCAGAAUGGGUGUCACGCCCCAAAGACUCCUGUCCCCUCCUGUGGCUAGUGUACACCGUUGAGGCGAGACGCUGCAAACUGCAAACAAUUAACGAAUAUGAAAGCCAAGUGAGAAAUGGUGGCACUUCUUAAAUAAAUGUGACUCCGAGUGAAAGGGAUUUGACGCUGAAUCCAAAGUUCCUGAUCAGGCAGUACGGACCAUUAACAAACCGGCUUGACUGGCCCAGGCAGUGGCUAUGCGACUGAAAGACACGAUCACUCGCGUUCUUCUCCACUUUGUGCCGUGGAAUACAAACCCAGUCUGUUAACACAUUCUGAAUCAUGGAAGUUCAUCUUUUGAAUUCCCGUCGGCUGUGCUUUCGCCUCAGCUUUCGAAAGAGUGUCGUCCUGCCGAAAACUCAGUCGAGUCCCUCGACGCGCUUCGCACCCACCGUCUGAAACUGUGCGGGACUGCACUGCUUGACCUCCGAAACCAAGCUGAGCUAGUGUGGAGACGUGACAUCCGGAAUCUGCUCUCUGGUCGGUAGUGGAAGUUCCUGCUGACAGCCUGGCCGUUUCCUCUGCACCGCCUCCAGCAUCCCUGUCCUCUAGCGCCAUCAUCGCGGCGGCUGUUCUGGUUCCAGAAUUCGUUAGAUAGCGCGGAAUCCGUAACGCCCCAACAGUGUUCGCGGACUGAGGAUAUCCGCCUUCUAUCAUGUUCCGGACCGUCCUGCCCCGUGGAAGCAGCGUAGAGUUUUGGUCAAGCUGACGGUGCCGUGCAACUUCGGCAGCAUGCGUGCGCAUAAAUGCAUCGAUGAGAGCGUCGAAAGUCGCCGUUUUCCAGAGAGAGGCAUCGGGGCAGCCGACCGCCUCACAGACGCAUCGAGCACUCACAACAGCCACUUCCCGCUGCCUCAUCAACACGCCUACACGAGGCAUCAGCUUCUCAAGACUGAGGCGGAGCCAGCGAGUGUGCGCGUUGCUCACAACCAUAACCAUACCCAGCUCAUGCGCAGCUUCCAAGACCUGCAGUACCCUGUCUUCACACACUGUUAACGCUUCUUGCACGUGGGAGGGUAACUCGCUGAAAGUCCCGAACUGCAGUGGGUUCAGCGGGUCAAUGCCUGCGCAGCGGAGCCAACUGGAAGGAAAGAGUGUGUCGUCCCAGUCAAAAAUCAACAAAGUGUUCCUUGGGCUGCAACGCAGCCCUCGUCUUGCCAACAACGGGCUGCUUGGGGCAGCCGCCGAGAACUGCUGGACGGCCAGAGAGGAGUUGUCCCUCACUCCCAAUCGGUUCCCGGCUGUGUGAGGAUUCUCAGCAGAAAGAAGCUGCAAGUAUCUGGAGAAUUCGUUGUCCGCUCGAGAGUGUUGCAGCGGGGUACUGGGAUUUGGGCAGGACGGACUACCGAGACCAGCACGCAGGAGAUGAUGAUGUACAUCAUCCCCCGCAGCCACAGAGAACUCUCCCAAAACUUCUGGAUGUGGAACAAGACUGAACUGGAACAGUGGCGGCGGCCGCGACACGUGGGGACGAGCCCCCACCGACAACAGUCCGCUUUCUGCCUGGAAAAGCGAAGAUAUGCCUUGAUCAACGGUCCGACGCGCAUCCUGUCCAGCUGAGGUGCACCAUGCGAACGGAGAACAACGAGGAAUUUGUUCCACUCUAGACAGGGACCGGCUCGGCUCUCUUUCUUGCUCAGGCAACUUCAGCUGCUCCGUUCUGUCACCACCAUCCCUACGAAGAGGGUGCGUUGGGUUGGAAACGAGGGCUUCUGCCCCAUCUUCUUUGUGGUUCUUUCCCUCCUCGCCAGAUUUCUCCUUGGAGAGAGUGGAGAAAGCUUGGGUUUUGGGCGAAUCACUUUCUGCAUUCUGGGGUGUUUUUUGGUGCGCUUGACCACCCGACGUGGACUGCCGAAGCGAGUUCUGAUGACCGCCUUCACUCAAAUGCAGACGGCUUAGUGCAUUCACUAGAGACGUCUCAGUAGAGUUACGGCGAAUGAAGGGCUGUGCGCUGGUUGUUGAAUCUUGUACAUUCAUCGUGUCUUCCAACCUAGGCUGGGCUCUUGGAGUUGUUGGCCCACCGCUUUGCCGGUUACCUUGCAGCCGGGCACGACGGCCAUGACCGGAACGAGGGCGGCGACCCAUGGUGAGGAAGCUAAAAAUGAUGUGCACUGGAGACCAGCCGUUCCAGU
rnacentral:lncRNA from 1 species